rnacentral:siRNA from 1 species
CAGAUGAUGAUUCUCCUAGACU